GACGAACGCUGCGGCGUGCCUAAUACCUGCAAGUAGAACGCUGAAGGAGGAGCUUGCUUCUCUGGAUGAGUUGCGAACGGGUGAGUAACGCGUAGGUAACCUGCCUGGUAGCGGGGGAUAACUAUUGGAAACGAUAGCUAAUACCGCAUAAGAGUAGAUGUCGCAUGACAUUUGCUUAAAAGGUGCAAUUGCAUCACUACCAGAUGGACCUGCGUUGUAUUAGCUAGUUGGUGAGGUAACGGCUCACCAAGGCAACGAUACAUAGCCGACCUGAGAGGGUGAUCGGCCACACUGGGACUGAGACACGGCCCAGACUCCUACGGGAGGCAGCAGUAGGGAAUCUUCGGCAAUGGACGGAAGUCUGACCGAGCAACGCCGCGUGAGUGAAGAAGGUUUUCGGAUCGUAAAGCUCUGUUGUAAGAGAAGAACGAGUGUGAGAGUGGAAAGUUCACACUGUGACGGUAGCUUACCAGAAAGGGACGGCUAACUACGUG
rnacentral:rRNA from 1 species